CCUGAGUGAGAAAAUAAAGAUGAUGAGAACUCUUGAAAGAUAGCACUUUAAAACUCUGAAAAGUCCACUAAGGGUGGAUAUGCAGAGUGAAGACGAUUGGAAUCAACUGGCAACCCAGGCAUGGGGACACAUACUGUAUUCCCAGUUAUAGAGCUGAGUGAGGCAGGGGGAUCACUAGGCCUGGUCAGACUUACCAAGGCCUUGUUUAAAAACAUAAAAUAAAUUAAUAUAAUAUAUUAAAUAUAUGAAUUUAGUUGUAGGAAGGAUAACACUUGAAUAACAUGUAUGGACAUGAUCUUGGGUUUGAUCUUCUAUUGAAAAAAUAAGAAAAAGAGAGGGAGGAAGGGAAGAAGAGAAGAGUGAGGAAAGGAGGGAGGUGAGAAGGGAGAGAAAUCCUGAGCAUCCGGACAGUCGUGCCAUUUUAGAAAUCGAAGGGGCAGGUGGUGGAGCCAGGCGUGGCAGUCGGCCCUAACAGGAUGUGUUGAAGGCACUGCCAGGACCCAGGGCAGCGCACUCUCAGAGGUUGCCGGAAGGGCAGGCUCACCACACUGGCCAUUUGGCAAGCCCCAUCUCUCCCCUUCUCUUCCCCACAGAGGGAAGAAUUCUAUCUAAGAGGUGGGUGAGAGUGUGGUUGCUUUUGGUGCAGAGGCACAGGAGGAAGGCAGUGGCUUUGUGGGGGCAUGGGGACUGGGCUCAUAUGGUGAAGGCUCCCCUACCCAGGCUCCGGGGUGAGAACUCCUCAGAAGUCAGGAGGAUCAUGGGCACAGCAAGAGCUUGGAGGGUGCAGAACAAAGUUCCCAAGGAGAGAGGAAGGCAGAGUCUGAAUGCAGUUGGGAAUGAGAUUAGGCCCUGCCAUAGCUCUCCUUUGUAGGGAAUGUGCGAUGUGGGUGGAUUCUGAGUCUCCCCACCCAAGGACUGGAGACGAGUGGAGUGGGGAGGAGCAAGAGGCCAGUUUGCACGGCUCCAUGGAACAUUGCUCAUGCAUGCUAACAGCCACUCCCCAAACACCAACGAGGACUAAAUACCGAGAUUACCACCCGGCCCACUGCUUGCUAUUUGUGGGUCCGUCUUUUGGAGCUCUUAGGAGGAAGUGUUACUUGUCUUAAGCUCACCCUACUUUACCUAUUUUACUUCCUAACUUAGUAAAGAACUGGUUUUAAAAAUUCAGAGGGUGUCAUAUUUAUUUUCUAUACAUCUCGUCACUUAGGAUGUAUGUUUGUAAACAAAUAUGUUCCAGUUUUUAGGAGACAUAUGGUUUCUAAGUUGUUUGACUUAAUAAGGUAACAGAAGUUCCGUGUUAAAUCUGCCUCUAAGGGCUGCACUCUGAACGACUUAAUUAGGGCUUCUAAGAGCAUCUAACUCCCGGGCAGAACUAGAUUCCUGUCUCUCUCUCCUCUACCUUCAGUUUCUUUGCAGAGAAGUCCUUGAAACCAGAACAGAUAAAGAGUUGCCCAUUCCUCUCCUCUCCUCUCCGUUCCUGGGAACACGCAGAAGGUCUAGUUUAUUUAAUUAUUCUCCAGAUCCCCCUCUGACAAAGCACAGGAGAAAUCUGGAGAGUGUGUGACAGUAUCCAGGAAUGGUAUCUGUCAUGUGGCUGUGGCCAGAUUAACCAAAGUCUUUUGGAGGCUCUUAAAACACAAACCCAAAACACACUUGCAAAGAGGACCGCAUCAGCAGGUCCCAGGGCCACCAUCUGCUGUCCUCUUCCAGUAGGUGUCUGAUGGUCACUUAACCUGGGAGAGCCAGAGCCCAGAGAGACUCCACUGCAGCCCCAGCUCUGCAGCAGGCUCUUGGUCUGUGGCAGCGGAGUACCGACAGCAUGUACCUCUGAGAUUAAAGCUCUCAGGAACACAUCACUGACACCCAGUGAGUAAUUCAAAGUGUUCUUUCCUGGCACUGUGGCCAUGGGAUUAGCAGCAGUCUGCUUUCACUGGACUGUGUCCUUCCCCCUGCCACACACACACACACACACACACACACAGGUAUGAAGGGAUAAGAACAGCUCAGCCAGUGAAGUGUCAGCCCAGCCACACUUCUCCUGCAUGGCAUCAGUCCUCGUGUGUUAGACCUCAUAACCUGUACACUGGACAGUUGGAGAUGCUUGAGCGAGGGCUUUGUCUAUGGCUCUCAUUAGAGAUAGCUGUUGAAGAGGGUAGGGACAGCCGGUGAUGCUCUAAUGCUUCUCCAGCUGUGGUGUCCACGUGGUAAGAUGGUGCUAACAACAAGGGCGGGGAGAUGCCCUGUAGUACCCCCCUGAAGCUCCCCUUCCCAUGGUGAUGUCAGCACUGUGGCUGUUCAUUGUUGCUGGUGCUUGUUUUUCUUCUCAUAGCAUUAAAUAUGGGUUUGCGUUGAGGGGCUGGAAGAUCAAAUGAGCUGUCUGGCACCUUCCUUUUCCAUGUUUGAAAAGCCAAAUGUCCAUUUCUGGGACCCAUCCAGCCUGCGGCUUCCUUCCUACUGCAUUUUGCUCCAUUCUAACAGAGCAGUGACUGGAGGUUGCUGAAGAGCUGGGCAUAGAGGGCUUGGGUCUGUGCGGCUCUGAGAUGACUGUGCUCGAAUACAUGACUUGGUAUAUAGCUACUUUUGGAAAGAGGCGUUGUCAUGGGAUUACCAGUGGCCUUCUAGAAGCUUUGUUGUAUGGUGCUCAUGUGAGAGGACUCCCCCGUGAUGCUCACGUGCCCUAUGAGCCAAGUCUGUGUGCAUCCCCAUCACAAUCAUCUGAUUCAUCCUCACUGCAGGGAAUGCUCACUUGACAGGCUCCUUCAGGGGAGGCCCUGGAGCCCUCACAGGCCAGACAGCUGCACACCACAAAGAUAUCUGAUCCCAGGCUAUGGGAUAUGAGAUAAGUUUAUACUAGACAAGGAAGAUAGAUUGAAUGAAGUUGUCUUAUUUAAGUUUCUACCCUGUGCAAAGUUGAAUUAUGCCACUAUUCUCAACUCUUUUUCAACCAGGGUAGCUCCUGUAUAAGCAAAAAAAAAAAACUUUGCAACUAAGAAGUAUGAAGGACCCUGUCUUCAAAAACCCCUGUGUGAGUCUUGGUGGUGAAGGAUCCUCCCCUGCCAAGUUGUAAAACCUCCCAUGACAGCUCUCAUCCAGGAACCAUACCCUGGUUCACCAGACCCUGGAAGCAUCUAUCCAUUGGGCUUCAAAAAUGUUGCUUAAAGAACACAAUGGAAAUUUCUCUGAACCCAAGAACUAGGAAAUGUCCCACUUUCUGGAUCAAAAUCAUGAAACUGAAGUAUCAUCAGCACCAACCUGAAAAAUGUCUGUCCCCAUCCACACUCAAUUAAGUAGGCGUUCCUAGAAGCAAAUGAAUGCUUGAAGUGCAAGUUGAGGUUCACCAAACUCCAUGAAAAGCCUCUGGUCAGUUAAGAUGAUUUUUGAAGACCAAGUAUGAUAAAAACCCUGUGUGUGCUACGAAGCACUGUGUGCAGCCUAUUCUCCCCUUCUUUUCCAUUCCUUGGAUAAGAGCCUGUCACGGUGAUGCCAAGGCCCUGGUUUGAGAAUACUUCUUACCUCUUGCUAAUAUUCCACUUCCUUUGAUUUUCAAAUCUCAUUCAUCAUGUCUACCAUGGAUAUAUCAAGCUAUGGGGUGGAGGGGGGAGGGCUAUGCUUCUGGUAAGAACACAAAAUGUUUCAAGUAUAAAUAAGAAUAUUUAGAUAAAAGCCAUAAAAAUCAGACAGACAGAGGUUCCUUGAAUUCAGCAGAUAUUUCUGACUUUCUGAACAUUUAUAGUCUUCAUCUUCAUCAUAGUAUUUUUAAAAUGCACUCAUUUUCAAACUCUAUUAGCAUAUAAUUAUUAAACAAAAAAACAGACAAUAUAUAUUUAUUCAGUUUUCUGAGCUAUGUGUCCACUCCUGUUAUCACUGAAAUGAAGACAAUAAAUAGAUCCAUCAUCUCCAAAGCCCACCACUCUUCUGCAUGCUUGAUGAGUUUUCAUAUAAAGAGAAACCAUGGAGUGAUUUGUCUGUGAUUGACUUACACGCUGGCAUAAUAUCGUCCAGUCCAUCCUUCUUGUCAAGGUUGAUAGGGUUUCCUUUUCUUUUGAGGCAGAUUCAUAUUGCACAUAUGAAUCAUGUUUUCUCACCCAUUUGUUUUUCAGUACACAAUGAGUUGUUUCCAUAUCUUGGCCACUGUGAGCCAAUACAGAACACAAAGGAUCUUGCUUCUCAGGAUUCUAGCCUCAAAUCUUCAGGAUUCAAAUGUCCAUGGGUAGCACCACUAACCCACAUGAUGGCUUCGUUUUGAUUAUCUUUUGUAACUUCUAUUGAGCGUUUUAUUGGCUUUCCAGUGUCAAUCUGUCUAAAGGAUAUACAUUCACCAGAACCCCCUUAACUCUUUACUCUCCCCUCCCCCAUACAAGUGAUCGAGAUUCUUCUGGCAGGUGUAAGACCAGAGCUCAUGGUGGUUUAGAUUCACAUGUUUCUGGUGACGAAUGGUAUUAAGCAUUGUAUCAUAUGCAUUUGGUCAUUUGUAUGUCUUUUAGGGGUAGAUUUCUAUCUAUGCUCACAUUUUAAUUGGGUUAUUGAGGGGGGUUACUAUUAAAUUACAGAGGGUUGUGCAUGGCUGAUACAAUGGGCUCCUAUAUCAAUCAUCAAUGAAGAAAAUGCCCUACAGACUUGCCUACAGGGCGCUCCUAUAGAGGUGUUUUCUUCAUUAAGAUUCUGUCUUAGGGUUUUACUGCUGUUAAGAGAAAACAUGACCACAGCAACUCUUAUAAAGGAAAAUAUUUAAUUGGGGCUAACAGUUCAGCAGUUAAUAAUUGUCAUCAUAGCAGAAAGCAUGGAGGCACACAAGUAGACGUGAUGCUGAGAAAAGAGCCAAGCGUUCUACGCCACCAUCCAGACGGAUAGGCAGCAGGAGCAGAAAGCUACUAGGCCUGGCUUGAGAAUCUGAAAAACCCAUCCCAGUUGCCACUUCCUCCAACAAGGCCACUCCUCCUAAUAGUGCUACUCCCUGGGCCUAUGGGGACCAUUUACCUUCAAACCACCACAGAUUCCUUCCUCCCCGAUGACCCUCCCUUGUGUUCACAUAAGAACUAGCCAGGGCAGAGAGAGAUGCCGGUCCCCUAAAGUAGCUAGCGCCCAGCAUCUCCCCAGAAAUGGGACACUGAAGAAAGAAACCAAAUGACGACUGAGGCUCAUAUUGUGUUGGGGUGGAGCUGGAAGAGGCUCUGGUACUCUGAGCUUCAUUCUGUUCUGCUGGAGUGCUGCUCUGUGAUUCUUCAUAUAGUUGCUAAUAUUUAAAGACUCUUAUUCUGACACUAAAAAACGAACUCCCUUUGUGUGUAGGCAGAGUAUGAACUUCUUAGAUAUGUAGUCUACAUACCUUAUAGUUUUAUAAAAAAAACAUUAAAGAAUUAUUUUAGAAUGAUAAAAGAAGAAGAGAAAUCAGAAGUGCAGGAAGGGAAAGUAUUUGCCCUCCACUAAGCAAUGUGGAACUGAAAGAUAAGUCAGUAGAAACAGGGGGAAGCUCAGAAACAAAUGUGUGUGAAAAACUAAAGAUUAAAUAAAUGUGAAUUUUUUUCUAAUCAAAAGAACUAAAUUGUCUGAUAGGCAGGAUGAGGUUAAUCAUCUUUCCAUUUGGGAGAAAAUAUAGUCAGGGUGUGUAUUCUCGUGUGCUUUUCAAGAGGUUUAAUGAUCUACAUGUGAAAUAGUAAAACUAUAAAUGUGCUAGAAGAAAAUGCAUGGUCAUUUUUAUUGGAUGGAUGCUGUCAGGAUGAGGGAGGCAUUCUUAGUCACAACACAAAACAGCAAAGAAAAGAAACCCAUGAAUCUGACUGUACAGAAUGAAACACUGGUGUACAGGGAAACUCAAUAUAGAGUUGCCUGUCACGUGGGAAUGGGAACAGUAAUGGGGCUAGAGCCCCAGCCGUAAACAAGAUGAAGAUGAACCAUGUUAGAAUGUGCAAUAAGACAAAUUCUGGGGUUCAGAGUAAUAAUCCAAAAGGUGGAGCUGGCCAUUCUGUCUUUCCCUUGCCUCUCCCCCAGGGCUGUAUUUAAAUCUGUGUUAAAGCUAUUUCUUAAUAAACUCCAAAUUUGUUUCAUGAAAGAGUAGGGAUAAUCAGCUCCAUUGGUAAAGUAAUAAGUCACAAUGCGUUGUCUAUGGCCCUGCAGUUUCAUGGACCUCCACAGAAGUGGACAUUCUUAUUAAGAGCUAAUGAGAAGGUGAAUGAACACAGUAUUUAAAGAUACACAGUAUCUCUCCAGUGUGGGUCCAGUCAAGCCUUUGGCUCUUUCCUACAGAAGAAACUGUACCCCAGAGAUAGCAGCAGUGAUGCUGAAAUAAAGAUUCCUUAAUCUUCUAAACGCUCCUCGAUAGCAGAUUGGAUACUGCAGGGUUUUAAUGAAAUGAUGCAUAUGUUCUUCCUUGGAAAACAGAACCACAGUAAGAUGAAACAAGUACACAUGUACACACACACACACACACACACACACACACACACACAUGCACGUGUGUCCUAGUAACCCACUAGGAAAAGACUGGAAGAGCAGAUAGAUACCUAACUGCAGAGUCUUGUAAAAGCUUUUGCAACUCCUGUGUGUUUGGGGCCUGGUAUGUGUAUGCGUGAGUACAAGUGUCUGCAGCUCAGAAGCCACCCUCUGAUCCCCUGCGCCUGGGUUCUGGGAACUAAACUUUGGUUCUCUGCAAGGGCAAUGUAUACUCUUAACUACUGAGCCAUCUCUCCAUCCCUCUGUGAAGGAAGCCAUUGAGGGGUAGAGAAUUCUAGGAUUAGAGAUUAUUUCAAACAAAGUACUCUAUGGUGUACAUGAAUAGCAACAUCACACAGUAGCCAUAAAUAUGCACAAUUUUGCCAGGCAGUUGUGGUGCACAUAUUUAAUCCUGGCACUUGAGAUGAAGAGGCCAGCAGAUCUCUGAGAUCAAAUCCUGUCUAGUCUAUGGAGCAAAUUCACGGGCAGCCAGGACUACCCAGAGAGACCCUCUCUCAAAAGAUAUAAACACACAAAAAAAUGUACAAUCUUUUAGAGUGAACUAAAUUGGUGAGGGUUUUUUUUAAUUCAUUAAUUAUUUGGAAAUUUUACACAGUGUAUUUUGAUCAUAUUCAUUUUCCACUUCAUCCCUUAACUCCUCCCACUUCACCCCUUAACUCCUCCCACUUGUCCCUUAACCCCUCCCACAUUGUCCCAUAACCCAUUCCACAUGCACACCUACCCACCUACACCACAAACUCCAUAUCUUCUUUUUUUAUAUGUUCUUGAGAACUUCCCAUCUUAAUACUGUAUUUCCAUCAUUCUCCUCCUCCCUCUCCUUCCAGCUUCCCAUCUCACCCCUUCUCAAACCCAUGGCCUUGUAUCCUUCCGUUUAUAACUGUUAUCACACAAUCUCCUGCUGAACACUGGAGACUGGCUAACCUAUCAAGAAGCUCUGCCCUGGGGAAGACUGAUUCUUUCUGUCUCAACAACCAUCCAUUGUCUGUGGCCCUUCUUCUAGGUGUGAGAAUGCCCCAUCCACACUGGCAUGUCAAUUAAUGAUAUCCUCUUUCAGAGCGUGUCUAGGAAGCCAUAUUGUUGAUAUCCUGGGUGCAAACUCCUUGUCAUAUACAGAAGACAUCCCACAACAGACAUCCCUUCCUGGUGGGCUGGCUCUUACAAUCCUUCUGCCCCCUCUUCUGUAAUUUUCCCAAAGCCUUAGUGCAGAUGUAUCCACCUGGACUGGGCACCUCACACUCACUUGUUCUCUGCAUUUGUACCCAUUGUGGGAUUUUUUUUAUAGUCGUCUCUGUCUACAGCAAAACAAAAAUUAAAAAAAAAAAAAGGCGCUUCUUCAGUGAUAGGUGAGAGAUAGGUAUUAGAAUAUAGUUAGAAACCACACUGAUUAGAAACAUGACAGUAGUAAGUUGUAUUCUAGGGUCCAUGACCUCACCGACCAUCAGUAGUAGGCUAAGUUUAUAGUACCAGGUAUGAAUUCCCUCCUUUCAAGUGGCUUCAAGUGCAGUCACCCCAGGACAUUGGGUCACUCUUGCCAUUCUAGUCAUAGCUGUUGUUCUUGGGUAUCGCCAUUACCACUAGAUAAGACAAUUGUUUUCCCCCUCAGCAGCUUGCAAGGCUCCCUCCAGUACUAUAGGGUAGCCCUUAGGGAGACGGUUUCCAAGUCUAUGUCUUCUUCUUUUUGAAAAUACCACACAUCUAGUCUGUGCUGCCCAUAUGCUCCUGGAUGUGGGUCCAUCAAUGAAGCAUGGUCAACCCACCAGGGACCUAACCAUUAAAAAACAAAAAACCUUAGAGCCGGGUGGUGGUGGUACACGCCUUUAAUCCCAGCACUUGAGAGACAGAGGCAGGCAGACUUCUGAGUGGACAGCCUGGUCUACAGAGUGAUUUCCAGGACAGCCAGGGCUAUACAGAGAAACCCUGUCAUGGAAAAAAACCAAAAAAACAAAAACAAAACAAACUUACCACCCCUCCCUCCCUCAGAAGCCGGUAACUAACUGUCCAUAGCUACUCAGCCAGUAGUAAAUGCUCAGAAACCGCUCCCCCCUUCAGGCUAAGAUACUUACUGACUUGAUCUUAUGUAGGUCUUAUGUAGGCAGCAGUAGUUGCCUGUAACCAUUCUGUCAUGUGCAGGAGAUACUGUUCAUAUUGAUCCUCCAAGAACUCUGACACUAACAAUCUUUCCUUCCCCUCUUCCAAGAUGGUCCCUACACCUUUGGGGUGAGGUUGGAAUAAAUGUCCUAUUUAUGGCUGAGUAUUCUAGUGACAUUUAUUCUCUUCACUUUGUCCAGGUUCACCCUUAGGGCCCAUGAGGUCCCCCACUGUGGGUUCAUAUCCCAUCCCAAGGCUCAGAGGCCAUUUUGGAAGAUAGGAAGACUGUAGACACCAGAGGUCAUGGAGGGCUCAGUGAAACAGUGCCAUCUGAACACGACAGACUUACAGUAUAGACAUGUUGCCUCAUGCAUAGUGGGCCUUACGUCCAAUCAGUAAGCUGCUGGUUACCCACCUAAUAUCCACACCACUGUUAUAGCAAUGGGCAUAUAUUUCCACUCCAGUCAUUACUGCAUUUAACAAAGUUCACAGUUGGAUGAUGUUGCUAGUGAUAACCCCAUUGUCCCCCAGCAGCUGACAUAGCUACUUCUAGUGCAAUGAAAGCUGGCCAUCAGAAAGGAAGCUUCAUAGUCAAUAUCAAUUUGAUUUCUUUCAUAUCCUAUACUCAAUGUGUGUGAUGUCUUCAGAAACGAGGUCUUAUCAACGUUCUUUUGAGCAAUUAAGAAUAAUGUCAAUAACCUCUAUUGUUUGGAGGCUCCUGAUCACCUACUCCAGAAGAGAUAUCCCAUAUCUGGCACUGGUCUUUAAUUUGGCAACCUGCUACUUCUAGGAUGAGCAUAAUUCCUUGUUUAGGUUAACUCUGAUUAAACUCUUGUAUAUGAAUAUGAAAGCUAAUGUUUUAAAACUCUAUGCCAAAUAACAAUUUCGUUUACAACAGGAUAUCAAUACAAUGGUGUUAUACGUCUCUCAGGAACAAAGACAAAGGACAUCUCACUAGCCCCAAGAUAAGCUUGACACCUCCCAAUGGGUGGCUGGCCUCCACACAGCACCCCAGAACCACCACAGGGACACCCACUGAAUCCACCUCUCCCCUCUAGAUAACCCUCUCCUCCUUCCACUUCUGUUCAUGUUACAGAACUAAUUUCUAUGACAUUUUAUUUUCAUGCAGCUUUGAAACCAAGAAUGUCUUGAGUAUUUAUGAGGCAUUUACAAAAAGAACAGAGUGAACGCAGUUUAGACAGGUCACAAUAAUUCUCCCGAUCUCUCUGACACCCAGUGUCUCAGGCUUCACCUUCCUUCCACAUCUCCUCAAUUAAAUUAAAAUAUGGCAUAGUAAGUCAUGGCGAAAGAUUCUAAAAGGGCACUGCAGAGGUGAAAGUAAAAUAACCUCUGAAAAAAACAUUCCUGUUAUCAGCAAAUAUGUUCAGAUUUUGUUGAGAUUAAAAAAAAAAAAAUCCAGGAUAACUAUCAAGGCAAGAUGAGGCUGGAGAGAUGGCUCAUGAGUAAUGUGCUUGCCACUCAGGCUUGAGGACUUGAAUUUGCAUCCACAGAACCCAGGUAAAGCAAAAGCAGAAGUUUAUGUCUGUAAUUGAGCACCCCUGAGAGAUGGGAGGCAGGAACAGGAGAAUCCCUAAAGCCCAUGGGCCAACUAGGCUGGUGGAGUAAAUAGCAAAGCACAAAAGACUCUGUAGCAAAUGAGGCAAGAAGAGCAUAUGCCUGAGAUUGUCCUGUGACCUCCACACAUGUGCUGUGGCAAACACACUCCCCACAAACACCCCCCCACACACACACACAUAUAUACUACACAGAUGCACACAAACACAUAUACACACAUGUGCUACAUAAACAUGUAAACACAUGUGCCACACACAUAUACACACAAACAUACAUGCAUACACAUCCAUACACACAUACCACAAACCUAUACAUACAUAUAGAUACAACACACACAUAUAUAUAUACACACCACACAUGGACACACACACACCAUAUGGGCACACACUCGAACACACACACACACACACAUACAUACACACACACAUACAAAUACUUUGUUUUAUUUUUAAUGACGGACCCAGUGUUCUAGUUUGGUUUCUAUUGCUGUCAUAAAUACCAUGCCCAACAGCGACUUAGGGCAGAAAGGGUAUACUUCAUCUUACAGUUUACAGUCUAGGGAAUCAGGGCAGGAACUCAAGGCAGGAACUGGAAUAGAAAUUGCAGAUGUGUGCUGCUUGCUCCCUGUGGAUGCUUAGACUGCUUUCUCAUACAACCUGGAACCACUGCCCAGGAGUCUCACAUGCUUGCCUGUGGGUCAAUCUGAUGGGGCCCUUUUCUCAAUGGAGGUUCCCUCUUCCCAGAUGACCCUAAAUCAUGUCAGUUUGACACAGUAACUAGCGCUCAGGCAGAAAAGAGGAAGGGGAAGGAGGGUGCUGCUGAGUGAUUCCCCUUGGCUCACAGGGAUGCUUCACCAUUUGCCAGCACCACUCCAGGACCAUGGGCACAACAGGGGUGUGCUGGAGUUGAUCCCCUCCUCACCCCAACUCUUCAGUCUAAGAGGCUGUGCUGAGGGCUGCUGAGGCAUGGGCCUCCGUGGAUCUUUCCUUUGCUUUUGAGACACUCCAACACAGUAACACACAGUGUGUGAAAUGGUGGGCACCAUCUCCAACAUCGCUGUCAAAACUCUGGGCUUUCCUUUCUGUGACUCUGGGAUUAGCUGUGAUGUUUACGAGACAGAAGGCUCAGCCAUACCCAGAAAAGCAUGCAGACUCUCCCUGAGACAUGAGAAACACUGUCCCUAGAGCUGGCAGACAUCAGACAGUCCUGGCCUGGGUUGUGCCCUGUCCCUUACAUACCAUGUUUCCAAAACCAGGGCGCACACUGCCUCUGAAGUGCACAGCCAGAAGCCUUUGAGGUAAUGGACCUGUGGAAGUACCGUGAACUGUCUGGACAGAAGUCCAGUGUGCAGCGUUCAUGUGUCUCAGUGUCUCUAUUAUCCAUUGUGUAAUAUGAAGAUGAGAAUACGCACCACAUGUUUUAUUUUUAAUAUUCCUUUGUUCCUUGAUUGUGGUUUAUUAUUUCCCAAAGAGCUUUGAAAUUUCCCAUUUCCAGGAGGUUUCAGAAUUUAAAGUGUAAUCAUUUUUAAAAUACCAAAAUGGGUAAGAUUAUCUGAAGACCGUGGUUCUCUCUGCUCAGGAAAGCCACUUAACGGAUGAAAUUGAGGAGGGAAAGCAAAAGCUUCGUUCUCGGGAUGUUAAUCUAGGCUUCCUAUGGAAAGAGCUAAGAAAUUACCCUGCACUGUAAAUGGAGAGUGAGUUUAAACAUCAACGUAAAGAGUCAUAAUUUAGUUCUAGUCGGGAGUAGCUGAGCGAGGGAAAACUUGAUUACUUAGAGGCAUUAAGCAUAUUAGAAGGAAUACAAAUGUCUCCAGCCUGGGCAGCUGCUGCAGUCCGGCCUCUUCAAGCCCACUGCUUUGAAGAGAACCGAUAGGCUCUGCUAUGACUCCCCAUCAGGAAGAAAAUGAAUUUAGGGUGCCAUUGUCAUUCCUCUUGUCCAUAGGCUGAGCCUUUUAAAACAUCGAGCCACACUCAUGCAAGUUCGCUAACUUAAUUUACUGCUGAAAUGGAAGCUAAAGUGGUUAGGGCUGUGAUGCUUGUCUCUGAGGCUUUCAAACUCGGGUAGCUUGCUCACAUGGACUAUGAAAGACACAGCUAAUGCCCUUACCAGAGUAGCCAUGGACACUACCUGAGAUGCCAUUUAAUAAAACUGUGUGCCCAUGACACAGCAUGACUUUGCCCAACUGGACACCAUGGGAAACAUGCAUCUAAAUAAAGAUAUGGAAUACAUUUAAUUCAGAGAAUCUGUGUGUGUGUGUGUGUGUGUGUACACAUGUCUGUGUGUGUGUGUGUGUGUGUGUGUGUGUGUGUGUGUUUAACUUCCAGUAGCAAUCACUCUUUUGAAAAACUUCUAAGGAAAUUAUAAUAAAAACCAGCAAUGAUAAAAUGUGAUAGACAUCACUCAUAACAUCUGUUGUUUCGCUAGGAACCUAGGUGGUAUAUUAAAUGUUAUGCAGAAGAGAAUAUUCUAAGGAUGAUCCCCACUAUUGUGGAAAACACCUGACAUCUAUGGGUGGUUGUGGUAGCUCAGAAAGGAGUACGUUAGCAUCAGAGUGCUGGGCUGUAGGCGGGCAUCUGGGGGUCCACCGUAUCCCUUGGAUGAGAGCCUGAGGAAAGCAAGGAAGGCUUGGGGAUCUUACCAGGUUCCCCAAGUGCACUCAGAUUUUACACAAGAGCUUUGUGUAUGGAGGGAUGGAUAUAGGUGGUACUUUGUGUGUGUGUGUGUGUGUGUGUGUGUGUGUGUGUGUGUGUGUGUGUGUGUGUGCAUGUGCCUGUGUGCAUGUGUGCUUACAAAGUGUGGGGGCUAGAGGUCAGUCUAAGUAAGUGUCUUUCCUCAGUAACCAUCCAUCUGACUUUGGAGGAGGGAGGGAAAGAGUCUCUCACUGGGACCUGAGGUUCAGCACUCUGGCUAGGCAGGCUGGUCAUGGAUUCACUGGUCUCCACUUCCCCAACAAUGAUUCCAAGCCCAAGGACCAUAUCUAGUGCUUGCAUGCAUGCUGAGGAUCAAACUCUCCAGCCCCAGGAACUUCUUCUAUCUUGAGAUUAUAUAUGUUGUAAUCUUUAUGUACUUGCAUUUCUUGGGAGUCUAGCUCAGAAGUGAUAUAUAUGUGCAUACAUACAUAGGGAUGAGCAAAGGGAUGGAGAAGAGAUUCUGUGUCUCUCUCCACAGGGCAUGCACACCAGAGUCAUGGCUCACCAUUCACAACUGUAUUGCUUAUAUGUUACCUACUCUAAAGAGAGUAUGCACCUCAGUGUGUGACCGCUAAGUGUUCUCAUGCACGUUAGGGGUUGUACUUCCUCUGUGUUCAGAUCUUAGAAAUUAAUCAAUGCUAUCACAGCAGGGAGUCUUAAAUAGUAGCAUGAACUCGACUCUUACUGUCUGUGCCCUCUGAGUUGAGGUCAUCCAUCCUCACUGUGCCUCCAUUUCUUCUUCUAAAAUGUAGGGGAAAUGGGUUUCUGAAAACUACAGGGGUUUGUUCUUUCAAAAAAAAAAAACAACCUCAAAAUAAGGGCUUAACAAAAGGUAAAUGCUCACUAAAAUAGAUCAACAGGUAGAGAUAGAUAGAUAGAUAGAUAGAUAGAUAGAUAGAUAGAUAGAUAGAUAGAUAGAUAGAUAGAUGGUGAAACAUUCUAGAAAAAGGAAACAACAAAGAGAGUGAUAAGACAGUUAGAACAGUCUUGAGUAGACACUGGAUCCAGGCAUGAGUGUAUGUGCUUCUCAAAGCUCUUGAGGAAUCUUGGAAUAAUUAAAAGGAGAAAUGCAAAGGACUUAAUGGGUGAUAUCUCAAAAGGAGAGCUAGAAAAUGGUGAAACUAUGCAGUCUAUACAGACAAAAGUCUGUGGUUCUGUAUGCAUGUGCCUCUCUGAGAUAAAAACAGAUGCAAUUAAGAGUUUGUAAGAGCAGAGGUGGCCAAACAUAGGAAGUAAAAUCUGACAUGGUGCCCAAGUGACCUGUGCCGCCUGGUCUCAUUGGGCCCACAUCUGGCCAUUUACCUACCUCCUUUUAUCUAGAGAUCAAGGCACUAACCAUACCUUCCCCUUCUUCCUCCUCCAAGCCUUUGUUUUCUGUUCCUCCCCUUUUUUGCUGGUAUCUAUCUGCAGGUUUGGCAUCCUUUAACCUCCACUGUUUUUUUAUUGGAUAUUCUAUUUAUUUACAUUUCAAAUGUUAUCCGCUUUCCCAGUUUCCCCUCUGGAAACCCCCCACCCUAUCCCCCUCCCCCUGUUUCUGUGAGGGUGCUCCCUCAUCCACCCACCUACUCCUGCCUCCCUGUGCUUGCAUUCCCCUACACUGAGGCAUUGAGCCUGCAUAGGACCAAGGGCCUCUCCUCCUGUUGAUGCCUGACAAGGCCAUUCUCUGCUACAUAUGCAGCUGGAACCAUGGGUCCCUCCAUGUGUACUCUUUGGUUAGUGAGUUUAGUCCCUGGGAACUCUCGGGGGGUCUGGUUGGUUGAUAUUGUUGUUAUUCCUAUGAGUUGUAAACCCCUUCGCUCCUUCAGUCCAUUCCCUAACUCCUCUAUUGGGGUCCCCAUGCUCAGUCCAAUGGUUGUCUGUGAGCAUCCACCUCUGUAUUUGUCAGGCUCUGUCAGAGUCUUUCAGGAGACAGCCAUAUCAGGCUCCUGUCAGCAAGCACUUCUUGGCAUCCACAAUAGUGUCUGGGUUUGGUAUCUGUAUAUGGGAUGGACCCCCAGGUGGGGCAGUCUCUGGAUGGCCUUUCCUUGAGUCUCUGCUCCUGUGAGUAAUUUGUUCCCCCUUCUAAGAAGGACUGAAGCAUCCAUACUCUGGUCUUUCUGCUUCUUGAGCUUCAUAUGGUCUGUGAAUUGUAUCUUGAGUAUUCUGAGCUUUGGGGCUAAUAUCCACUUAUUAGUGAGUGUCUAUCAUAUGUGUUCUUUUGUGACUGGGUUACCUCACUCAGGAUGAUAUUUUCUAGUUCCAUCCAUUUGCCUAAGAGUUUCAUGAAGUCAUUGUUUUUUUUAAUAGCUGAGUAGUACUCCACUGUGUAAAUUCUGUAUCCAUUCCUCUGUUGAAGGACAUCUGUGUUCUUUCCGGCUUCUGGCUAUUAUAAAUAAGACUGCUAUGAACGUAGUGGAGCUUGUGUCCUUGUUACAUGUUGGAGUAUCUUUUGGGUAUAUGCCCAGGAGUGAUUCAGCUGGGUCCUCAGGUAGUACUAUGUCUAAUUGUCUGAGAAACUGCCAGACUGAUUUUUAGAGUUAACCUAUACUAUCUUAAUAGCUCCUACCCAGUCUUCAACAGCACCUUACAAGUCCUGAUCACUCCACUGCUUUUCUGCUUAAAACUCUUUUAUGACCGACACACACACACACGUAAGACCUUCAUGCUUGUGUAAUGUUUGAAGCCGUCCCCAGCAUAGGCUCCCACCUCACUACCCAGUGGAUCCUGCAACUAAAAUUCUGUCUGGUUUUGGUAGAAGCAGCGUGGGAAAGUCCACACAUGAGAAACACUGCAGCACUGCACACAUCCUCAAUUGAGAAGGGCAAUCACCCCAACAUGUGACAGUAUUUGGAGGUGGGGUGCAGAGAUAUAGUCAAUUAGGGUAGGAUUAUAGUAGGUGGGCAGUCCCCUAACCCAGUGGGACAGGCAUCCUUCUGAGAAGAGGAGACACAUGGGACAGGACUCAGAGAGGAAAUAGACAGACUGCAUUGAUGAAUCUUCAGGACAAGGAUGGGGGUGACUCUAGAAAACUGAUACAGUGAAGUGGAUCAUCCUGCCAACUCAAAUGGGUCAAGAUUAGUAAAGCAUACAUCUGGGUGUUUCUCUGGGGUUUCCAGGCAGGAUUAGCUGGGGAAAGACUUCCCCUGAGUGUGUGUAGAGGUGUUGUGUGGGCUGGGGACCCAGACGGAAUUGAAAGGAAAGGUAGAAGCCAGCGAGCUAGCACAGGCUCUCUCUGUCUCUCUCUCUCCCUCUCUUCCCCCCCUCUCUCUCUCUCUUUCUCUCUCUCUCUCUCUCUCUUCUCUCUUCUCUCUGCUUCUCUGCUCUCCAUGCCCUCUCCUCCUUGACAGAUGAACCAUGCGCAAAGUAAACCCUUCCUCCUGUCAGUAUUUUCUCCAACAUUUGCCACAGCAGUGAAAUUCUGACUAAUGCAACGUAAAACAGAUUCCCCAAGUGCCUUCAGAAGGAACAUGGCUCAACUAAUUUGAUUUUAGACUAUGAGAAAAUGACUUUGUGUUGUUUACGGCUGCCAAGCUUAUGUCUUCUGCACCGCAGCCUGAGGAAACAUACUCAGUAGCUAUCCAACGCAAAGUGUCCUCAUUUAUGAAAUGAGCUAUGAUGACCUUCCUAACCCCAUGGAAGCAUUGUGCAGAUCAGUAGAGAAAAGCUGGUGUGCAGUUGUUAUAUGUGAGAAAAUAUACCAGUGUAAAACAGGCAUCGUAGCUCACACCUGUAAUCCAAUCCCAGCACUCUGAAGGCUAAGGUGGGAGGACGGCGGCAAGUUGGAGGACAUCCUGGGCUAUAUACUACAUUCCAAGCCAACCUGGGCUACAAACAACACAGUUCACACAAGUGUAAUAUGAAAUUCUUAUUUCCUGGAACCCCUCUCAUGCCUACCUUAGCACACUAGCUACCUUCUCCGAACACUUUUUGGUUAUUUCAUUUAAUUUUUUUAUUUAAUGAAUUGCACUGGUUUUAUCUUUAAACACCCCAGAGACAGAUAAAAAGGCCAGCUCUCAGACCCAGCUUACUGUCUCGCCCUUAAUGUGCAGCUGAUACUGCACAGAGCAUUAUUUCUGAAGGACAUGAUUUGAUUUGUCUAGCUGAACAUAAAUAAUAUAUUACAUUAUAAUAGUCUGUUGUAUAUUAAUGUUUAAUAUGCUAAUGAAGUUUAAUCUCUGUAGAUUUGAAAAUAAGAUUUAUUUUAUUUAAGGUGAAAAAUACUUAAUUUAUUUUCACAUGUAUGGCUGGUUUUAUAUAUGCUGCUUACUAGAAAUCUAAUAAAUGCAUAUUUUACCAAAAUGGCUAUUUUAAUAGCAUUCCUUUGAUUAUGCUCAUCAAUAAAUUUAAUCAAUUACCUAUUCAAGCACUAGAACAAGCAUUCUAGUCCUGGUGCAACAAAAUGAUCUCUUGCAAGGAAAAAAAAAAUGACGAAUCUGAAUAGCAAGAGCCAUUAGUCACAAAGUGGAUGGGAACGAAUUUCCCCUUUGAUACCCAGCUCCUACUUAAAAUAAAACCACCACAAUGCUGUUCUUGCUGAAUUACUUCUCUGAGAAUCUUUCAGCGGUUUCCGUGCACCCUGAGGCUAACAGGGCCCUGUCACAACCCGGUGAAGCUGACGGCAGCCCUGCUUAGAGAGCAGAAUUGAGGCCAUGAAGGCUGUAAGCCAGAGCUCAGCAGUAGAACUAGGAAGAAGCCUGAGGAAGCCCACCCCAAAGCCUCCAGCCGUACCACAUGACUCUGACAUCAGCCAGCAUCCUCUUGGCAGGAGCAAGACUCAGCUGAGGGACCCCUCCGGAGCCUCUAUAAUGGCAUUUAGUGAGUCUAGAAUAAAAACACCAAACGAGCUCUUGCUUGCACGGAAUGGGUUCCUGGAAGAGGGGACAAAAGCUUUAUCUCACUUCCAAGUGGAGUUACAAUGACGUCAGCUUCAAAUGCUAUGCACUAGGAAGAUGUAAUUUUAAAUGAUGCUGCUUGAGAUCUCUGAAGAAGAAAAGAGGAGAAACAAAGUGGGACCCAGGAUCCCCGACCUGGUGUGGAUGGGUGAUGUGAGAGAUUAGGAAGAGGCACAUGUCAGUCUCAAAUUCAGUUACAGGACCAGAGCUCACUGCUCAGGCAUCUUGACAGUAAUGUAGUCCACUAAACAUUCCAGUUCUAAGAGAGAAUGGUGGGUUUUGGAACAGACUCGUGGUCCAAAGCUGGUCUUGAACUUGCUAUGUAGCUAAGGAUAAGCUUGAAGUUCUGCUUAGAAGGAAUGGGUCUUGAUCAGUAGAUAGCAAUCUCUAUAACAAGAUCACCUCAUGUUCAUCGGAAGACAUGAGGCUACUUGUUUGUAAACAGAAUCUGUCAGCACUUCACCACUUCACUUAAAAUGGCUUGAGGGAGAAACCUGUUUCUCUGGCUUUGCAUUCUUGCUUCCCUCCAGCGGCAAAUGCCACCCUCCUGCGACCCUAUCCACAGGCUCAGACUCGUCUUACCUGUACGCUGUGCAUGCAAGCCAGCGCAAAACACAAAUGAGGAACAUGUGGCUUCAAAGCAGGAAAAAUGUUCUGCUAAGCAAGAUCUGCAGGCAUUGGAUGUUCUGUCCCUCCUUCUCCACCCAGCCUCUCCCUGGGACAGUUCUCCGCCACGCCUGCCCCCUGCCGUUCAUGUGUUACUACAAUAGAUAUCGCCCCUCCACCCUCAGCCACCUGGCCUGUUUCUUCUGCUUCCAUCUGAAUUGAUGAUCGGCCCCUCAGGAACAACCUUGCUUGGAUUAGCUCUGGAAAUGUUCUGAAUUGUGAAUUAACUCGUAGGAAAUCUGCUUGCUUGAGAGAUCAAACGUUGACAUUCAUUUAAAAAAAAAUGCAUAUAACUGUGAAUUUAGAUAUUUUAGUGUUUCAUUCAUGGUUUUACAUUUUUUUCCAUAAAGGUUUUCUCAGCUUUUGUUGGUUCAUUAAAAAAACACUCUGCUGUUUUCUAUAAUCUUUCUAUUUCCUCUAGAAUAUUAUCUCCAAAUGUAUUCACAGUCAGAAAGGAAGUGCUUGUACUACACCUUGAGUUUUUGCCAAUUUAGGGAUUACUGAAUGAAUUAAUGCAACAUACAUCUGACACCAAUGUAUACAGCCAAUUGUGAAUAAUUUAAAUAGUUUAAGGAAUUCAAACAUAGUGAAUUCAAACAUAGCUUUGUCACUAGGUGGGCCCUUCUUGCUUUGUUUCCAUCCAAAGGGAAUAGUAAAUGUAUUCCCACACAGGGAGAGUUUGGCUCAUCUCUAGUAGGUUUGACCUGGCCUCAUCCCUGUUUCAAAACCUGAAUCAAGCUAGCAGCCAUGCUGCCAAAUGCUUUAUUUUUUCUUCACUUGCACUAUCUUGAGGAUGAAAGUAAGCAGAUAGAUUUUGUGACAGCUUUGUGAGAAGCAGUAUUUCUGAAAUAGGAGGUCUGGGCCAGGAAGCCCUCAUGGCUACUUGCGUCUGAAAUCACAACCUCAUAAUGAGCUCUUUGUGGAACCUGCUUAGGCGUGAUUUGUAAAUCUCCCCCAUUCUUUGAUAGCAUCGUUAUCUGUGACCUACAGAGAAUGCGCUGAGCAUACUCCUCCCCUUCUGAGUCUGUUCCACACUGUGUACCUACCCGUGUCAUGGCACUGUUCGCUCGCUUGCCAGCCCUCCGCAUCAUUUUCUCGCUCCAGAAUAUUAAAUGGAAUAUUCAGUCCUGUUCCAGGGAAGCCUAAAUUAGCCACAAAAUCCUCAGAAAAGGUAUCCAUUCAAAGGGAUUCCACAUGUGAUGAAUAGAGUGGACACUCUUGAAAUAGAGCAUGAAUCACUCUUCCUCCUCCUCCACCACCCCCACCACCACCUCUUCUUCUUCUUCCUCUUCCUCUCCCUCCUCCUCCUUCUCUUUCUCCUCCUUCUCCUUUUCCUCUUCUUCCUCCUCCUUCUCCUCUUCUUCCUCCUCCUAUUCUUCUUUCUCCUCUUCCUCCUCCUCCUCCUCCCUCCUGUAGCUGCCCCCAAACCUCCCAUCCUUCUCUAGGCACAAAUUGUGUGUUUGAAUACACAUACUCCCAGCCAUGCUCUGAAUACUAAUGACAGAAGCUAAUGUGUCUGAGCUGCCAGAAGCCAUGCAGACCAGAUUCACCAGACACUCACAAGCUUAAAACAUGGCAACACAUUUUACAGGUAGGAAACAGCCCAGGGUCACCAGCUCUCUAAGUGACAGAAUCUGGAUAUCAAGUUCUUGACCACAGCCCUGGCAGGCAUGGUAGUGAAACAUGAGUGGAAGAUUUAUUCACUACAUCUUCCCCAGGCUUAGACUCCAGCCUCCCUAUCCAAGACGUGUGCCAGUGACCGAGAGGGGGCGCUAGGCAGAGAGCCUGGGAGAUCACAGGGCAACUACAGAUAUAAAACCAGCCUUGUGCCUGGGCUGAGUCCAAUAGGAGUAUCUCAUAGGGAUGUGUUGCAAACCCUGUACAAACACUCCUAGAUUAUAAAGCAAUCUGGAUCUUGUCUGGUUUAAUGCCUCAGUUUGGACAUGGACAUUUUUCUUGAUUAACAAGCAGAACUAAGGUCACAAAUAGGCCCCUAAGAGCAAACAAGAUUGCUAUUAGUAGUCAUUGAUGAGCCCCUGACCACACUGCCCCCGAAUGGACAGUGUAUCACUUAAUAAUCCAUUUUCUACGAAGGCUCUUAACUGUAGACAUGGCUUCUCAAACUGUACCCAUUAGUUGACCAUCGAGAAAAAGGUGCCAAAGUGCUAAUUGGGAUUAAGAUACAUCCCAGUUAUGUUAACAGUGCCUGGGUGGUGUCAGAGCUCUAAAUUAUGUCCCUGCUCUACCUCUGUCUAGCCCUUUUUAGAAUAAUCAUUGAAAUCAGAGGAUGGCUGUCCCCUGGAGCACUGUUGAGCACGUGAGUGAGUCUAGAGUCACACUGAUGGACAGUCUUCUCGUUCCACUCAUAUUGGUUUGUCACAGCCACGGUUAGAUAUGGCCACAGUGUUGGUGGCUGAAAACGAAGACUGAUUUCUGUCUUAUGUGAAGGCAGAGACAUCAAGGUCAGCUUCACUGGGUUGAAAUCAAGCCGGCCAUGAGAAAGGCAGUACCUCUUCAGCAAUGAUGAAUCACACGCACGCAAACACGCACACACCCUCUUGCUACCCAGUCCUUGCUUAUGGCCACAUCAGUCCAGUGUUUUCCCAUAGUCUGUCCUCUUCUAUCUCAGCUUCUCCUCUAAGGACACUUGUGAUUGGAUUUAACAGCCACCCAUUCAGUGUCAGGGCAGUCUCCCAGUGUCCUGGUUCUAUUCCAUUACCAUAUAAGUCCUAAGUAGGGGGAGUGCUGUGUGUGAAGAGGAAUCAAAAUGACAGAAAGUUAGGACCCUGAAUUGAAGACAGAAAACUAAGACUAGCAAUGAACAGGAGAGAUUUAGUCAGAAACACGGUGAUUGUGAACUCGACGUUUAGUUGAAAUGAUUUCCUAGAAAACUACAAAUUAGGAAAAGUAUUCCAAACCCCUGAAUAAAUAAUAAUCAAAAUCGACCUCUUCCCCAAGGGAAAGAACAAGGCCAUCAUUUUACACUCAAGUUUCUCUAAGUCCUCAAAGGUGGCAUCUUUCCCUCAUGCAAACCAUUUUUUGAGAACCAAAACAGAGCAAAAGGAUAAGUUAACUCUUGAGAGCCAAGUAGAAGGCGGUAUUUAUUAACAAAAAAAAAUUGCAGGGCAGCCUCACAUAUGCUCAUAAAUGCAAAACCCUCCAUGGUCUUUGAUCGUGGAGAAAAUGCAGAUCAUGUGAUCAAAUGGCACGAGUCGUGGCCUGAAUUGGAAAGCUGGACACUCAGUGCCAGGGAGGAGUUUUCAGAAAGGCGCUGAGUAUUGUAGUAUUUGUUCCAUUAAAAUUCGCCUCCAAUGUGAUAAAAAAAUAAGCAGACUAAGACUCUGCCCUGACAGAAGGGAGUAUUGAGAUCAGACGGCUGUCGCAUGAAGUCCAGGGACCUGGUGAAGCCCAGCCUAAUUCCCCAGGACUCCUCCUCAGGAGUCAGGUGGAUAUCAGGGAUCUGCAGCAAUGUAUCAAUCAACUUCGCCUUCCAAGGAGGUAGUGCAAGCUGAAUUGUGGGAAAGGAAUUGAGAACACUCCUAGGUGGUGUCCUGCACGAGGAAUGGCCACCUGACCAGUAUGGGUUGGGAGAACCAAGUGGGAGGAUAUGACUUGUGAGACCAAAGGAGAAACCAUCAGACCUGGGAGAGUCCAGCAUAGAGAAGGUGGGGACUCGCUGAGAAUCCACACCUAGCAUUAGGGCCAGGCUCUUGGGUGCGUAGGUAGGCAGAGAGAUUUGGAAAGGGAAUCAUGAGGAGAAAAGACCAAAUCCAUGAUUCCAAUCAAAGCAAGCUGUAUUUUAUGGCGACCCUGGGAUUGGCCAGCUGGCUGUCUCUCCCUGUUGGGGUUUGAGCAAGCAGCCCCUGCUGGCCUUUUGAGGUCCAUUUUUUAGGAUAAGGUGUUCACAGAGACAAGAGAGACAGCUGUUAUGCGUUGUUAGAAAGAUACAGUGAACGAGAAGGAAGAAGGGUAAGGAUAUUAUAGAUUAUGUAAAGCAGGGCCACAAGUUUUGUGAAGGUUGCAAAACAUGUUUUACAGUUUAUAUCAGAUCUAAGAAACAGGAAUUGACUCUUAAUUAUAAACAGAAACUUGAACUUGCAUUGACUCAGCACAGGACAAACAGAUACUGUCCUUUAACAACAAACAAAACCUGCACAGGACAAACAGGAACUUCUUAACUGCAAACAGAACCCUUAACCUGCAGACUACAGUGUUCCUGUUGUGGCCUCACAAUGGGAAGCAGAGCUGUGAGCCCAGGAUGGGGCCUGAUUUCAUUGAAGGCACAGUGGAUGCUAUUAGUAAUCGCAUCUUUUGUAAAAAUCUUUCAGCUGACAGUAUACUCCAUCUGUUGAAAAAAAGAAUUCGCACCGAAAACCAACACACAUACUGAUAAAGUACUGUAAUGCAUUGAACACUAUAAGCAAUAAAUAUAUAGCUGGACCCACAUUUGCAUCAUAAAAAUGCAAAGAAAAAAAAAAGAAACCGCAAAGGGUGAUGUUGAAAGCAAGUGUGGUUUGUGAGAUCAAGGCAGUGUCGGCAGGUCCUCAGAUGAAGUCUAAAGCAGAGCAGACUUGGAACAGAUCCCCUCCUCAUGCUCCUUCCAUCCUGCUGAAGUUGAGGGGUCAUUAAUGCCCAUAUGUCAGUCCCAGUCUCUUCUGCUGCCAAGGACACAUCUAGGCGACUUCCAGAUUCAGACUGCUAUAAGUGGGCACAGAUGUGUACCCAUUCCUAUUGGAGGGAACUCUGUUUUCUGGUGAGGGAACUCCCUAACCUAUCAGAGUCCCUGGCCUAGCAUUGGUACCAAGUAGAGGAACCCCUGAUGCCUGCUGGAGGUAGGAGAGGGGGAGGCAUUCUUCAGGGAGGUGGGAAGAGGAGAGUGUGCUCUUCCUUCACCUCAUGCAGUGGUAGGAAUCCCAAUGCUGGGUUUCAGUUUCAUAUACACAGGGGGUAAACUAGAACAGGGUCCCUUUUGUUUCCCCCUCCUCUUCAGUUCCAAAUGACCAUGCUCUGGAAUUCCUGUUUUAAGAGCCUUGUGUACAAAUCGCCAUUCUCAAGGUCUCUCUUCUCCUUCCCUUACAGUCAUAUGUGUGUGUGUGUAGCACCAGUACUGACCAGAAGGCAUCAUCCAUAAGCUUGUCUCCAUGGUCAGAGCCCCAAGGCUUGGCUUUCCUACCAUAUCCUAAGCACAGCGGUCACUUUCAGCAAAGGCCAGGUACCUCUGUUCCUUCCUGGACAAUUACCCUGGUGCCUUCUGUUGGUUUCCCAAAACAGAAGCCACGUUGAUGAUCUGAGUGGUGAAUUAUCCAGUCUAAUGGCAUGGAAAUUAACAAGACGAUGUCUUGAAGCCACCAUCUGUCUCCACACCAUCUACUUGUAGAUGUUUAUCAAGCUAAGAAGCCCGCCAUAUGUGGAGCAUAUUGUCCAAAGGAGAGGAAAUACUACUUUUUUUUUCUAGAAAACUCUGGUGUUGUAUGCAAUGUUUUGUUCCCCUGUUAGUUGGCCUUCUUCUCUUGUCACAGGUAAAUCAAAUGGCUGUGUCUUGUUUAUCUCUAUUAGCUCUUCAUAACAACGAUUCCAAAUGGUUCCUGCUUAUGCAGUGUUAAGCCUCAUUCCACUAAGGAUUUAAUAACAUCUUUCAAGUCUAAUCUGUUCCUGCAUUUUUGCCUUACAUACAAGCAUGUUUUAAAAUGUCUUUUCAGGAAUGAUCUACUCAAGUUUUCUUCCUUGUGGCUUUUGUUCAAGUUUCUCUAGCUGUUUGGAGCCUGUUUGCCAUUCAUCUCCACAGUGUUCUUCUGAAAACACAGGCAAUAUUAUGCCACCUUGCAUGUGGCCAUACUUCAGCUUAUGGUCGCCUCUAAAUCAUUCACCCCAUCUCCAUCCUGUCAACCCAAGCAGAGCAUCAUCUCCUGAGCCUCCUUUUCUGGGAGUCCAAUAUCCCUUCUGAAGCUUUAUCAGUUUCCACUCCCCCAUAGCCAGCCAUGAAUCCCUGGUCUUCCUUCACCAGCCUUUAGAUUGAUCCAUGGCCCCUAGGCCCCGUGUGCACACCAUGGCCAACAGAAUGCUAUGCCUGCAGUUGCCAGUGCUCCUGCCAGUGCUCCUGCCAGUGCUCCUGCCAGUGCUCCUGCCAGUGCUCCUGCCAGUGCUCCUGCCAGUGCCCCUGCCAGUGCCCCUGCCAGUGCUCCUGCCAGUGCCCCUGCCAGUGCUCCUGCCAGUGCUCCUGCCAGUGCUCCUGCCAGUGCUCCUGCCACAACUGAGAGGAAGCGUGGAAUGCUAUGCUUAGGAAAACGGUUCACAUACGCACACAUGCACACCAGUUUUUUAAAAACAGAAAAGUAAGGGAGUCUACCAGAUGAUGCUAAGACACUUGCAUCUACCGCCCUCUUCUCCUACUCUUAAUCUUCGUGGCAACACCAUCAUACAGGCGUAUGUCCAGCCCCAAGUUAAAGAAAGGUGACUUACACUUCAGUACUCAGGUUUCCACUCUGGCUUCUUCAGCUGUGUUCUCCUUGCCAAGAACUGUCAUGUGGCAAUUCUUCUUGCCAUUUCUACUGUGACAUGGUCUCUGAACUUCUCCCAGACACUCCUGUCUCCUUGUUCACCAUAUCCAGGAUGUCAAAAUUUCCCUAAGUUCAGUUUUAAUUACAUGUUUCCCCUCUCCCAAUAUCAGUAGCUAUCUGUAUUCCUUCAAAGGGAAAUAAGCACUGUCUUAGGACAUCGGUGAAAGUCUUUGACAAUAUAAGUGGAAUUUUCUCCCUUUAGGUCAUCAGUUCUCAACUUGUAGGUCUAGACCCCCUUGGGUUCUACAUAUCAGAUAUUUACAUUACAAUUCAUAACAGUAGCAAAAUUAUGUUUAUAAAGUUGCAAUGAAAUUAUUUUAUGGUUGGGAGUCGCCAUGACAUGAGGAACUGUAGUAAAGGGUCACAGCAUUAGGAAGGUUGAGAACCACUGCUUUAGAUAUUUUUCUCUCACGCAUAUUCUGCUGUUCUCCAUGAAUCUUUUAUUCAUGUUUCCUUGCCUCAGGGAAGCCGCCACCCUGAAGCCCCACAUGUCCUGCAAAACUCAGCCCUCACUGGCUUCUCCCCUGGGUCCUUCUAUAACAACCAGAGUAGUGGUGAACUCACACCUUCAUUAAGAUGCAUUUACUGCCCACCACCAGAAGUGCCAUUGUGCCUCCUGCUUCCCAUGAUGCACAGUAAUGUCUCCUCCAUGCCAGAGAUUUGCUCAUUUCCAUUGCUCCGUUAGUCUCACUGUAAAUUUGAAAUCAGGCAGAAAGCUUACUCUUGGGAAUAAAGGUUGUCUGCUCUCUGCAGUCUAUCUGCAGGCAUGCGAGAAAAUUGCUGUCACAGAUCGUAGUAAUAUGUGAGGGAGUUAAUCUGAUCAAGUGACUUUUGUCUUUUUUUUUUUUCCUUGUAUAGGUUUCUUUCUUUUUGUCCCCCAUUUUGUUUUUAGAGACAGAGUCUGUACUCUUCAGUGCAGGUUAGACUGGAACUUAACUCUGCAGCCUCAGCCUUGUAAUAGCAAUCCUCCUGCCUCAGCCUCCCAAGUGCUGAACUGCCAGUAUACAGUACCAAGCCUGGCUUCCUUUCCUUCUUUACUGCUGCAGCUUGGCAGCCUCCGUGUGUGCAGAUCCUGUAGCUGUCUCCUGUGAAGGCCCGUCUCUUACCUGUCCACUGUACUUAAGACAGUGCCUGCUACCUACUACAUGCUCUGUGAACAUUUCUACACUUUUCUCUCAGCAUACAACUCACUUAAGAUUUGAUAUGGAAAGGUGCACAUCCAAUGCGAGAUUCCAUUGCAAAGUGUCACCUGGAGGUUGGUUUAAAUGUAUGCAAGUCAAAAUGUCCAGCCCUGGUUAGCGUCUCGCAUGGAGGACAAUGCUGUUCUGGCCCAGGAGAGCUGUGUCUAACUGAGCUGACACCAUUCCCUUUAAAAUGCUGCUUUUAGGGAGACUAGGGCAACAGCACUCAAAAUCCAUACCUCCUCCCUAAGAGUAGAGGGGUAGCACCCCAACAUUUGCAGCAGGGCUCCCCAAAGGUGGGAAGGAAUUACCUCUCUGGCUCUUUCUCUCUGGCUCUAGUUUCUUGUGUCUGUAUUUUAACAGAACAUAAAAGCCUACGCAGCACCAGGAGCCCUCAGUGAGAUCAUCUCACUGGCAACUUGAAUUGGGUCUCUGCCGGCUGCUUCUCACCUGACUGCUAUGCCACACCCAGGUGUCCCCUAGAGAGGAGAAUGUCUCCUGGAACAUCUGUGUAGAAAUUGUCCCCAAUGUUGGCUCAGGAAGGAGAGAAUGGUUCCUAGCCUUCCACAACUGCAGGCAGGCACCUUUCCCUCCCCCACAUUCCUGUUCCUGUUUCCAUGGCCCAGGCUGCUUGGGUCUUCUGCCAUCCCUGACCACCUCCUUUCUGCAGCAGAGGCAGCAGGACCUGCUUCCUCCAGAGGUCAGCAUGGCUGAGAGGGCCUGGAGCCCUUUUCCCAGGUCUCUGCCCCAGAAGCUAGACUCACUCCUUCAUCCUUCUGACACAGGGCUUUAUGCAGGUCUUGUUCUGCACUCUGUGAACUCCAAAAGGCCUUCUCUGAGUCCGUCUGGCCUCAUCCCCCUUCGCUGAUAAACUUCUAGAAAACACUGUCUUCUCUGGAAAGCUGCUUUCUUCCUUUUCCAUUCGCCUCAUAAAUGUUUCCCUGAAGCUCCUCUCACAAAGCUGUCAGCACCUCCUUGUCCCCAAGUUUUUUUCUUCCUUCCUUGCUACCUGUGUGAUUCCUCUUCACAUCCUAACCCACAGUGGGGUGACUCUGCUCUUUCUCUGUCCUCUGGCCUACUAAGCAUCAGCUACUAACAACUCUGCAGCCCUCACAACAUCCAGAACGUGUUGGCCCUCCCUCACACCAGUCUGGGAUCCCUAUCACAUGCCCACUGCCACUGUGCAGACCCUGGGCCUCCUUCUCUCCUGGGUCUGGUCAUUUUCUUUUACCUACUGGAAAGCUGAAUCUGAUCUCCAUUUCUCUCUCUGACUCCAGGAUAUCCAGACUCCUCCUACCCAAGAUGUCCCCGUUCUUUCUGCCUAUCUCCCUAAGUACGCAGAGGCCCACCCCCACACUCUCUAAGAAGUGAGUUAGUUAUGUGUCUCCCUUUCUGAUCCUCUUCCUGGUUUCAACCCACAAACUGACAGUGUUCCUGAGGCCACUGGCUUUCCAGAUACACCUACCAUCUUGUGGUAAUGGAGAUCGCCCACGUCUUCAUGACACUAGACAGGUUAAUGUGUGCCUGCCGUGAGCAAGCUAUGUCAGAAACAUAGGUCGACAUACACAUGCCUUUCAGGGAUUAUUUUGGAGUUCAUUGAAGGGCAACUAAACUCUCAAGCCACAUCAGUGUCAUUUUUCUUUAAUCUUCCAGGUAUUUUGAUUUCGUUUGAUAUUCCUAUCAUUGACAAACACAGGUUCUUUAUUCGGUCUUAAUUGAUAUUAAGAACUCUCAGACCUCAUAUUACAUUUUGCAUGAUGAUACCUAGACUGCAGGAUAGGGUUAAAGCAGAGCAGUGCAAGGACCCUCCUGAAGAAGACAAAGACUGAAAGAUGGCAGAGAUGCUAAGAGAGUCCCUGCAGGUAGUUAUGUGUGAACAGAGAGACCCAGCUGCGGGCUGUCGAGGUGCAGGGCUGAUUCAAAACGCCAAGCUGCUUAAAAGUGUAGCACUGGCUCCAGACACAGAGCUGGAUCCCAGAAGGAUGGCUGUUCAGUGGGCUGCAUGAAGCUGUGGUGACACACUGAGUUAGCUCAGGGACAGAGGCAGGAGUCCAUCACCUGUCAAUCUCGUGAUGCAGAUGGCAGAUGGUCUAACAGCAGUGGUCCCACAAUGGGCAGUAGGUACCUCCAGACCUUGUUGGUGAUGCAAAGGAGGCUUGCAGCAUCCUCUGGUCCGCUGUAUUCAGGGAACCACACAACCUGGUUUUCCUGAUGCGGUUUUGAUACACCCAUGCAUCCACGAGCUCCUGAUUGAAUUUGGAAAGUUGAUAGGUGGUAAUACUUUGUUAUCCAUCAUAGUUCAUGCUGGGCAGAAUGUUGUUCCCUUGCACAAACAUGAGGCACUAUGUCAUUAUUUCUACUCAAACAGGAGCAAACUGCUACUUUAUUUAACUGAGCCGUUCUGGACCAGGGACCUCUGAGAACCCUCACAACUGCUGUUCUGAGCCUUAUGGAGCACUUUACACACAGUCCAACCUGCCCACCACAGCACCUCAGUUUUACCAUCUCUUAAAAAGGUUAACAACAAUAGCUACCCAGUAAAUCCUGAGGUCCAUGUCAGUGGGUGGCACUGGGAGGACGCUGGAGCAUUGCAGGCACAAACCCAUCCUUACCAGGCCACUUGGGUCAAGUCUCCAACUAGCUACAGCCUCCCCUCACAGACGUGUCCCUCUGGGUGGCCAGCGCUCCUCAGAGCACUCCUGUCCUUCACUGCCUCUCCAUUUCUCUGUCUCGCCCCACUUCCUGUCUGUUUCCCACCAGCUGGACCUCAAGGUCAACUCAAUACCACCUUCUCGAGGAGUUGCUUCAGGCUCCAGUCAGCCUCCUCUCACCCCACAAAAAGGAUUUUAAAAAUCGGAACUCACUCUCUCUGUGUGUUUCUACUAGCACUCAGGAUACAGUUCCAAUCUGUACUCCUAACAUCACACUGUCCUUUCUCCUCUGUGUAGGUGACCUUGAUAAUUGUGCCAGGGGUUCCCCACCUCACCCCUCUCUAGUUUAGUGACUGGCAUGGAGCAGGCAGUAAACAUAUUGGCUACAUUUAUAUUUCUCAUAAUGAAUUUAAUGAAAAUCAUGACCAAAGAAAAUAUUUAUUACCCAUGAUUUUUAUUAUAUCAGUAUCAGUUUAGUAUUCAUUCUGCCCCAGAAGUUUAAAAAACCUAUUUCAGAUCUUCUCUUUAAAAUAAUGAUUUUUGAAAGUAAAUUUCUUAAGAUUGAAAUUUAUCAAACUGUUUUGUUCUUUCAAAUUUCUAUUUCCCAAGGAAAUAAAAGUCAUGAGAACUGAAAAAUGCUCACUGUCCUUUAACGACAGCACCAGUGUGGUAACUACUUUGGACUUGUAUUUGUAAGGAGAGAGACAGCGCCUUUAUCUGGGAGCCGUGUUUGCUGGAGCUGGCGCCCCCCAUCUUCCUCCAGAACAAAUGUUUGUUGUACCGCUUUUUGCUUUUUGUUUUGUUUUUGUUUUUGUUUUAAUUCCUUGCUCUUUAGACUAUUGCUUGAAAUCUUACGUUUUUUUAAUGUGUUGCCAGGUAGAAAAGCGAUAACAAAUUCCGUCGCAUAGAGUGGCCUGCCCUCCUCCCUCCCUCUGCCAUCCUAGUCAACAGACUUUUGUUCCAGGACUGAAAAAGACAGCCUCCCACUAAACAAAUAAGCUCUCCAGAGGGUGUGUUGUUCUCAGGUUUUCCUGUGAAUUUACCACGAGUCUCUGCUGUGGUAUGGAAUGUCACAGGAGGGUUUUUUUUCCUCCCUCAAGAAAAAAAUAAAAUGUGCAAAAAGGCUGGUUUUCUUUUCCAGCCGUGAUUCCUCUGCCUCUAUUCAAGCCAGCACCAGCGUUUGUGGAUGUCGGAAGGAAAAGGCUCAUUUGAAAACGCACAUCUACACUCCAAGCCUGCCCACUCGCACUGUUCUGUGGUGAAGGAGAAUUUCCACUGAGCUUGUUCUCCACCUGAACUCAGAUAUUACCAAAGCUGUAUUUUCACAGCAGAGUAUAAAAUAAAAGCAAUGUGUAAGAAAUUCCUAGGCCUGUUCUCCAAUGCUCCUAAUAAAUGCUUAGAAAGCCACAUUUAUACUUUGAAGCCCUUGGCAUCUGCCCUGAAUGUGUCCUGAAGCCCACCGUCUUUCUUCUUUAAUUUCAGUUUAUUUGGUUUAAUGAUAGUUACUGAACAUAAAUGCCAAAUUACGAUGGCACUUUCCAGCUGUGUGUGGAACUUUAUAUUUUAAGUACCAAUUUGUGAAGAAAGAACACUUCCAGCUCAGUUCUCAUCAGCAUUAGAGGUUUCAGCAAUUACCAAUUAUUUUUCUAAAUUACCUAUUUUAAUUAAGUAAAAUAUUAUGAAUUUAAGAUUAUGAAGUGUUCAAGCAUUAUUUCAUCUUUAGCUAAUUACCAAGAAAAAGGAAACAUAUUUGGGGACCUUGUGUGGCUAUUUGUGGAGCGAAGUGCUUUCUCUGUGGCUUCGGGGCCUUUGUUUAAGAGAAGCAGUAAAAUCCCUUCCUUAGGUCUGUUACCUAUGUGGUCCCUGCAGAGGACAGCCUGAGCUCAAUGUUGGUUCUAGUAUGAUGUAAUAUGGUUUAUAUAUAGAUGCUUGGGAUGGUAAUGGUAAUGGCCACUUGGCCAUUGGAAUUUAUCCCAGCUCCUCAGGGGCAUUCUCAGAGGGCUAGUGUCAUUGGCCCACUCCCUGAAGUAGACCCAUGCCCAGACAUUAGAAAAAAAGCUAGUUGCACCUGCAGACAUGACCACAUCAGGGUUCACCUUUGACAUCGCCAUCCCUAACUUGAUGGUGGGUGAGCAUCCUACUCCUCCUUGCAGGACCCCAUAUAGAAACAAGGAAAGCCGAAGAAGCCUGCUCCAAAGUUUCAUCUGCAGGAAGGUGUCCAGCACCAUUGGCAACUGGCACCAACAACAUGACUUUGAAAAACAAUGGCUUCAUGCAGACUGACAGCCCAACAAUGUUAUUUCCAGGCAGAAGUCACAACUGUCUUCCGCCAGUGUGUCCCUUGGCAUUCCUCCCCUUGAAUGUGGCCCAUUUGUGCUUAGGUCCGUGUAAGGCAGAGGUCAAGCAGGACUCCUGCUGGGCUGUGGCAGUGAGUGCCAGUAUCCUCAGCCUCGUGAAAUAAUCAUGCAGUCUUGAUGAGGUUGUUAGAGGAUGAUAAAGGGAAAUGGAGACAGUUUGUGACAUUUAUGGACACAUUUCUACUUAGAAUAACUUGUGUGUCUGCUUAGAUGCUGGCUAGAAACUCCCGCUGUGAGGAACGGCCGCCUGGCUUUUUACUCUUCAGAUUGAGGUUUAGCUUUUAAGCCAAAAGUGUCAUCAAGAAUCCCUAUGCCUGUGACCACCAGGGCAGGUGUGGCUGCCAGGCCUGGGUCUGCAGCUGAAAGAUGCCCAGGGCUGAUAAGGAGCUGGUUGGGGUGGGGGGUGGGGAGAGGUAGAGAAAAAGACCCUUUUAUUGGUUUUGUUUCAUUCAUCCACGUGAUUCUGGAAAUCCACUUGGAAAAUUGUCCUGAUGGGUAUUUUAACUGAAACGCUACUUUUAGAGUUGUUUUCCAAUCUAUUCAGCAAGCAAUUUUAGGUAAUAUGUUUUAAAAUACAAAAGAAAUGAAUUUUGCCAUUGUUUCCAACAUAAUCAUAAGAACUCUUGGAGUUUCUAAAGUGGGAGUCUUCUACAUCGUUUAGAUCUGUGGCACUUGACAAUUCGAAGCAUCCAAAAUGAUAUAGGCAAACUGGAUGGAUGGCCCAAUUACAUGCAAUGGAAGUCAAUAAAGAUAAACGCAAGCCACUGUCUUGAAUGGUAAUAAUCCCGUAAAUAAAAGAUAAGAAAGAAAACCAAUUAGACUUCAGCAUGGUGAAAAGAUGAAGAGGUUUUGAUGAGAGAAAACAGAGUACAGUCAGGAAAAUAGCCGAUCGUUUUAUGGCUUAGCAACCCAAUUGCUACUGAGUGUAAGAUGCAUGGAGCUAACCCCACCUCAGACAGCACGGUUCUCGGCCACACCAUGGGGCUCCACAGGCCAAACACAACCUGGACAGAUGAGGUGAACGAUUCCAAGCAAUGGUCAGAAGACAAAGAGCAUAAGACCUACUCAGGGAGCCAAUGCAACUUUGACCCAGUGAUGCUGUGUCUCCAAAAGGAGGUGACCAUUUGAGGGGAUAUGCAGAAGGAACACUCUGAUGUUAACCCUUCCAAGUCCUCUCUGGGAUACCUAGAUCCAGGCCAACGUAAAUGGCAGCACCCUUAGCAGUCAGCCCUGGCACAGGCUUAUGGGAGGAGAGAGGCCAGAGAGAAAGCAUGUCUGCAGCCAGGAUGGCAUUGUGGCAGAAUUAGGCAUAAACACCAGGUCUGUUCAGGCAGCUCAGGGCGGCGCUCUGACGGUUCCAGCCACGGUAGUUCACCGGCAAUCACCAGAUCCCACAUCUAGAUCUGCCUCUCGGUUACAUGCUGUCCAGCCACUUUCCCAAGUAAAUAGUCAAAGUACCCUGUUAAUGUGAAUUCUGGAUGAAGAGUAAAUAUAAGUUUUCCGUAUAUACCAUGCAAACUUUGAAAUUUUUAUAUUAAAACAUUUUUGCCAUUUUCCUGUGUUUUGUUUAGUGGUGCUGGGAUCGCAUGAGGACAAGCGAUCUACCACUGAGCGACAGCUCCUGCCAUUGCUAUUGAUUCUUCACUUACAGUUAACUGUACACCUGCACUUCAUGUGUCAACCACAGUAGUAAACUCAUGUUUUGCAUGGCCAUGACCCAUGUUCUACAGUCCUACAUGUGUCAAGCUACUGCCCUCAACAAAGGCUCAACGUUUGCUAGAAACUAGGUGCAUGGAUGCUCUUAAGUGCCCUGGAAGUAGCUAGCAUACACGUGUACACACACACACACACACACAUUCACAGGACUUUUACAUUUUCUCCCAAUCCACCCUCACUGUGAUGCCCUGAUCAUGGGACUCCUGUGCACCGGAUUACCUUACUCCGGUCUCCCUUCCCAACCAUUUUGGUUGAUUUUCCAUUGUUGUCGUCUAACAGAUUUACAAAGCACAUGGCCUCAAACAGAACCCUUGUGUUGUCCUCAGACUCUGGAGCCCAGCUGUCCAGAGCAGGCCUGAGUGUGUUAAAAUCACAGGCCUCCAGAGUGGUGCUCCUUUCUAUAAUCCCUGUGUGAAGGUGCACAUCCUUGCCUGGCCUUGCAUCCGUCCCCUACACAGUCCUUCCCUGCUGCUGCAGAGCUGGCCGUAGGACAGCCUUCAGACACUUUUGCUUUCAUCGAUUAUAAGACUCAUGGUAAUUACAGUAGAGUGUCCCAGAUGGCAGAGGCCUUCAGCAUCUCAAGACCAUGAUAUUCAUAGGAAUGUAGUCCCCUCUGCCACAUAUGUGCCAUGUUCAUGGACUCCAGGAAUUAGGCCAGGGGCUUGCAUGUAGAGGAAGAGAAAUGAUUCUGACUGGCACCCCGUUACUAGAGUGGUCUUUCUAAUACACAUCUUACCCUGCUGCCCUUAUUUACUAACUUCUGCUACAGAAUCUGGUGUUGCAGGGUCCGCAUCUUCUGUGUCACAGCCUAUAGCAUCACCACUUAGAAAAGCACUCCCAUUUAUUUGUCCCAUGACACCAUGACAUCAUGACAACACGGGCUGUAGGCUGGUGUGUAACUUUGUCUCCAGCCAGUGUCCAGCCUUUGGGCAGCUUUGCUAGAGGUGAGACUGUGCACUCUCUGCUCGGUGCCAGUUCUGUCUGUCAGUGCCUCUGUCUUCUGUCUUCUCCUCCACUUCACUGUACCUUAUUGAUCAGCCUGGCAGAGGUCCCUCCCAUGGGAAGGCGAGCCCUCAGGAGCAGCCUGUACUGUGACUGGACCCCAGCCUUUGGUGCAGUUACUGCAAAUGUCAGCUGUCAGUGAAGGAAGGAGUGCAGAACGCAGAGAUGCUGCCCUGACAAAGAUGCCCCUGCCCUUCCUCCAACAAUACAGACCAGUCAUCUGAAAGUUCGGUAAACUACCGUCUCUCCUAAUAAAGAGAAAAGACACAGGCCAACUCUUUAGUUACACAGCCCACCGGAUAGUGAAAAGAAAAAAAAAAAAAAACCCACAGCCCUCCAUCAGCCCCUGUGCUCUGUCUCUCCUCAUCAUUUGGGCCACUUUAUGCUUUUGCCAUGUCAGCUCUUCCUGGGUAUCAAACGACACACGGAGAUGGGACCAAAGGAAUACAACGUGCUCCUCCGUUGACAACUAAAAGGUGUUGGUAGUCACAAAGACUGACCUAAGAGCUCCUGGAAACAAUCUCAGAUUCUAGAAAAGGCUGGACAAAACACUAAGAGUGUUCACACCUAGAGCUCUGUGGAUACCGUUGUCUGGGUUCCUCGCCUGGGCGCAAUGGUGUCCGUAAAGGUAUCGGCGUGGACACUCUCUGUUUUGUGCUCUUGCUAUCCUCCACAGCACAUCUGGAGGAGAAACAUGAAGCCCUGUGUAAUGGAGAAGCCCUAGCUAGCCUCAGCCCGGGCCCCUCCAUCAGCAGAGUGGAACAGUGGCUGUGUGGGAGCAGCUAGAGUGGAGAAUUAGAGCCGAUCCAGGGGAGCCAGUUGGUGGAGGAGGGGAGGGGGAGGGUUUCUGGAGGAGCUGCCUGCCUGGCUGACCUGGACUGCCGAGCCCCUUCCACCCAUCAUUAUUUGUACCUUCCUACUGGAAUGAGCUAUUUGAGCCAAGGAACCCUUAAAGAUCAAAGCCCCCAUUUUUAUGCAAAUAGCCAAGAGCCAUAAAACCAGAGAGUGAGGAGUCAGGAAUACAAAUUACAGCUGGAAGUGUCUCCACAAAAGUUACAGGAAGCCUGCUUGUUAUUCAGAAUUUAACUUCUGGCAAUGACGGCUUUCUAAACUUGUGUUUAAAAUUGUUUCUAAAUGAGGAGCGAUAAAAGAGACUUGACCAGAACCUCGUUGCCUAACUAAGGCACCAUAGUAUUUAGGCAACGUAAAUAUGCGAUUCUGAAUUACAUCUUAUUAGGAAGUACUACCACCUGGAUGUACGGUACCUUGAAGCUGAAAGUGGGACCCUGUCUCCAUUUUUGGCUUAGACGUCCAUUUUGCAGCCACAGUUGAGCAGAGGGUCUACACAAGAAACCACACCCAGCUCCUCCCUGGACACACUGUUCUUCAUGUCCCUUGGAGGCAAAGCAUUCCAAAGCCAAAAGCCUGGGCCUUGGACCCCUGUGUGACCUCAGGCAAUUUGGUGAACGUCUCUGAGCCCCUUUGGUUAUUGUGUGCUGUGGGGAGGGUCUCAUGGUAGGUUUGUUGCCUUUGUGUGCUUGUGUGCUGUGUGUGUUCAUGUGUGUGAGUCUGAGCGUGGGCAUCAGAGGACAACCUCGUGUGUCCCCUCAUCUGCCCCUUUGUUUAGAGACUAUGUCUUCUCCUUCGCCUCUGUGUUCAGCCUGCUAGCUGGCUCACCAACUUUCAUGGGUUUUCCUGUCUCUGCCUCCUAUCUUGCUGAGCAAGGCUGCCAGGCUACCCCCUUCUCACCUCUGUGGCCAAUGUCUUCCCCAUUGAGCCAUCUCCCCAGCCCAGGAUACAUUUUCUAAGGGGUUUAACUUUCACAUCUCUCUGGCAUUUGGGUGGAGUUUUUAAUCCUGUUAUUUUCCUCUAUAAAAAGUUAAGAACUGUAUAUACCCAAAGAAGAAGCUUCCUAUAAUUGCAUCUGUGUGGUUUUUUGACUGUCUAGGGAAAGCAUUCUGGACACAGUCCCACAUUACAGAUCUCAGUCCUUGCCAUUCAGUCCCUCGCCGCUUCUAUCUCCCUCUGCCUUGUGGUCAGUGUUCAACACAAUGCACAUUCUGUUAUGUUCCUUCCAUAAAUUAUCUUAUUUGCUUUCGUAAGGUCAGUGGUGACACUGAUCAAAUUAUUUAGCCUCCCUGGGUUUUUCUGCAAAACCAAGAGUAUUAACUGUUCUCUGGAGUUGCUUCAUCAGCAAUAUUCUAGAGAAAUGCUCUUCCAGAGAGAGAGAUCCUAGCCUUUUCCCAGCAGUAUUGAAUACUUCCCUCCCUCUUCUGGUGCCUCCAUCCCUGGUCUAUCAUAGAGGUUUCUAUUCUGUCUUUUCAUCCCCACCCACCCUGACCUCUCUCAGGGUCAGCCCUGCUUGGUCCUGCAAGGGUUUGGUGCAGCCUUUAUAUAUCUUUAAUUAUUUCUCACGGCAACUUUGUCUAAAAGCCAUCGUUAUUAGAUUAGGAGCCACAAAUAAAGAAAUCACUGUGCAUCUAUGAACCCUCUGCCUGAUUUUGAUGGGCCGUCAUUGAGCAACAGUGUCACCUGACGAUGUUUCUGACUUUGACAGCAUCACACUUCUAGAAAACUUACUAAAGAUUCUGCAGCUAUUUUAAAAAUCAGGAAACUAUCAUGAAAAUAUAUCUUAAUAACAAAAAUUCAUCUCCUUCAAGACCACCCAGACUAAAUAAUAACUUCCCACUUGGCACACAGUCUGCCUCUACAUUGCCUUGUGUGCCAGAGAUAUUUAAUUUACCACAGAACAAGCACAAAUAUAUUUGUAUUCAUUUUCAUGCCGAGUUUCACAAGUCACCAGGACUUAAAAUAAUGGAGGUCCUGACCUGCAGGUGAAUAAUUUCUUUUUUCUACUUCCAUACGCUGUACUCAUGAAAAUACCUUGAUUAAUUAAUAAAUGGCAAGGCUUUGUACUAAAUCUUAGCCAAAUCGCUGUUUUGUAGAAGCUUGAAUUGCCCACACACAGUAUUGACAUCACAAGGGAAAGAUGGGUGUUUUAAUGAUUAAGUUAAACAGUUAUUUCACCCAUAACUCCAUUCUCCUUCCAGUUUCCAACCCCAAUUCAGAGUCACUGAACCUGAAAGCUGCUGGGAAGAAUCUACGUGCUCAGCGUAAUUUCCCCUCAGUGCCUAUGGGACACACCUCCUUCUUUGGAGGACUUUCCAGCACAAUCCUAUCUUACUUUCCUUCCCUCCCCAUUAGACAUCUGAGUGUCCUGCCAGGGCUCAUCUUCCUGGCCCACCUUGCUUCUUCCCCAGCACUCAGUACAGAUGAGGCCACGGAAGCACUGCUAACCUCAGAGCUGCAAAGGAAAGGCGGGUCUCUCCCUGAUCCUCUAGCUCUCUUGGUCUUUACACCCCAUCUUCUGCAAUGUUCUCGGAGCCUUAGGUGCAAUGGUGUUAUGUAGAUGUAGCCACUGGAACUAGGCUCUACACCUCUGCAAUUUGAUACCUGGUUGUAGUCUUCUGUAAUGGUCUUUGUCUGUUGCAAAUAGAAGUUUCCUUGAUAGGGGAGGGCACUACACUUACCUGUGGGUAUAAGGAUGAAUAAUUAGAAUGUAAUUAGGGAUUAUGACAGUCUGAUCUCUUUUUUAUGACUUUUGCUUUUAGGUUUAUUUACUUUCAAUUUUUCAUGCACUGGCUGUACUGUUUCUGGGUUUUGCUUGAUUUUUUUUUCUUGACCUUUUUUUUCCCAGUUAACUCAGGCCCUUGAAAAAAAUUGUGUGUUGGGAAACACAGAUGGAUACACUCAUCCGUGAAAACAGAAUAGAUUCCUUCCUAUGGGUCUAUACAUGUAACCAGUUCAUUAACAACAACUUCAUAGUUUGUAUUUGCAUGGACUUGUAUAUUUUGUAGAUUUGUGUAAAUAUAUCUGAACAAUACCAUCUUAAAAAAUAGGAUGACCAUUUAUCUUAGUAUCAUCCCUGGCCCAUCAGUGCCCUCAUGGGUAAGACGUCGGUUAGCAAGAUCUGCAUCUUAUUCUCUAAUUUGCCUUGGAUGUCCUCUGACACCAAGUGAGUGAGAUGCCUCUGAGACUAAUAGCUAGUACUGCCUUGAAUGCCAUCAAAAGGAGUCAUCAAAAGCUACACGAGACUCAAAUACCAAGCACUACUCCAUUGGAACUCAGAAAGAAAUAGAAAAUGAAGACAUGUGUUUGUUUUGGCCAUAAGAGUUAUAUCUCCUCUAAUGGCGGAAUGAAAUUAUAAGGAAGUCAGUUGAUUGCAACAGGCUGCCAGAGAGCAUUUCCCUGGAGGGUCAAGCCCGAGUCCCUGGAAGAAGUGGAAAGUUCCAUCAAUAGUAAAGGUUUCUUGUGCUGGAAUCUCUAUCACAUGGGCUGAACCAAGGGAAAGCUGGGGCACACUGGCCAGCUGCUGGGGUCCAUCCCCCACAGGAGAGCCACAUCUUGGCAGGUGGUGACCUACAGAAAGGAACCUCAGCUGGUAAAGGGCAGUUAGGAAGAAGCAAAGGAUGAUGUUGGAAAUCUGGCCUUGGUUUCAGUGUGGCUCCAGAUAUGUUCAGACUUUAAUAGGACCCUUGUUCUCAGUCCUAAAGGCACGUUGCAGUCACAUGCGAAAUGUUCAAAGUUCUGCGACUGACUUUUGUUCCCCAAUCCCUGUCAAAUGCCUCCUGAUAACCCGAGUCUCCUGCGUUCACAACACAGUCUUUUCAGCUCUUGCUCAGCCUCUGCCAAUCCCCUCCUCUUCUGCUCUCCUUCUGGUCCCACAAGAGAAGAGACGUGGCUACCAGAGGAGUAGGCAGUGCUGAUCUCCUUAGGUCCUUAGGUCAGGCAUGCUACCAGAGCUGAGGCUCCCUCACUGGCUGACCCACAGACAUCCAGGGUGCCAUCUGAAGCUCGGCCUGCUGUGGACACUGACAAAGCCUCCUGGGUGUUGCUAGCAUGCAUCCCAGGCUAAGAUCCAGGCAGCAGGACUAUCAAGGCAAGGUGCCUGGGGCCAGAUCCCAGCACUAGCCAGAGUUAGACAGCAGUCAGGCAGGAAAGGGCUUUCUCCAACACAGAUUCUGAUACUUGGGGUUCAGAGGUGAUAGAGAUUCGAUAGCCAGCAGGUGGGUUGCAGGAAGCCAGCACCAAGGCAAGAUUCACUGGGCCUCCAAGGUUAUCCAUCAAACUCAGCCUUGACCCAGUUUCCCUAAGACAUGAGCACAACUCCACCCACACAUGCAGCACAUCAGCGACUCAAACAAGGGACGUAAGGAAUAAGGGCCCUUUGCUUCCUGCUUGUGCAAUAAUUGGAUCUUCCCUGGACACACUCGCCAGCCACUGUGUGGCUCACGGUUCCCACCCAGGGAUUUUCAGCCAUUCCCACACCCUCUUGCAGUCCAACUACUUUCUCAUCAGCUCCAGCUCUCAGCUAGCUCUAAAUGCUGGGGGGUUCUUGGUAUAAAAAUAUUACUCCCUGUGCUUUCUUUUGCUGUUAUGCUAAACUUCACUUUCCCAUUUAUAAAGUUAGAACUGGAUAGCUCAAAAAAUGUUCUAGUAUCAUAGUAAAUGUUACAUUUUAUAAGAGAGUUUAUACCAAAAUAGAUGUGGGCCUUCAGCCUGAAUUCCCCUUGGUGUAAGCAGUAGCUUUUAUGGUAAAGUGCAAGAGUUGGUAAAUAAUUACAAAACUAAAAUUUCAAAGGAAAACAGAAUUUAUAGACAUGGGCUGUUCUUUGAAACUUAUGCUACUAUAUUUUAGUGUUAAAUAGAUUCUGUGACUUAGUUUUUAAGUUGCCAUGAAUCUAACACCGCCCUUCCCAGAGGAGCAGAAAGUACUUAAGUGGGCAGUGUUUCAGAAAGGUCCUUCUCCUAUUCCUUUUCUCGUGCCUAAUUAAAUUCCAGACCAAAAGAGUUGGGUUUUACAGAAAAAGAAAACAUGUAAAUACACAUUUAUGACAAUACCUAACGCCAUACUGCCAGAAGAUAACUGGGAGGCAAGAAUUGAGUCACAGGGACAAAAUAGUGUUUGUUUAUGCUUGCUCCACAGUUACCUUAAUCCUCAAACCCUUCCACAUGUCUCAGUCAAGUGUAGCAGCUUGGUCCUCACAGCUUCAGCUUCCUCCUGCUGCCAUUUUCUCUCCUGUUCCCAGUAGUAAAGACGUGCCCUGUGAACCGACCACGCCAUCUCAGUCUUGCUGCCCAGUGUGACACUGCCUUGACUACUGGCCGAGCCUGAGUCCAGCUCCUGGUCUCU